rnacentral:rRNA from 1 species
UCAGGUAUUGGAGGCAUUGCCUGCCCAGUGACAACUGUUUAACGGCCGCGGUAUCCUGACCGUGCAAAGGUAGCAUAAUCAUUUGUUCUCUAAAUAAGGACUUGUAUGAAUGGCCGCACGAGGGUUUUACUGUCUCUUACUUCCAAUCAGUGAAAUUGACCUUCCCGUGAAGAGGCGGGAAUGCACAAAUAAGACGAGAAGACCCUAUGGAGCUUUAACUAACCAACCCAAAGAGAAUAGAUUUAACCAUUAAGGAAUAACAACAAUCUCCAUGAGUUGGUAGUUUCGGUUGGGGUGACCUCGGAGAAUAAAAAAUCCUCCGAGCGAUUUUAAAGACUAGACCCACAAGUCAAAUCACUCUAUCGCUCAUUGAUCCAAAAACUUGAUCAACGGAACAAGUUACCCUAGGGAUAACAGCGCAAUCCUAUUCAAGAGUCCAUAUCGACAAUAGGGUUUACGACCUCGAUGUUGGAUCAGGACAUCCUGAUGGUGCAACCGCUAUCAAAGGUUCGUUUGUUCAACGAUUAAAGUCCUACGUGAUCUGAGUUCAGACCGGA